AUCAGAUUAUUCCUAGUAAGCAAGAGCUGCCAUCAGAGAUCGUGGAUCUUACAAAAUUUUAUGAGUGCUUAGUAAUAAUACUGAACUUAUGAUUGCCAUAUUUGAAGCCCACCAAACUUAUUUGCUCAACCUAUGCACAGUGAGCUGGUUAAGAAGAUCCUAGGCAACAAAGCUACCUUCAGCCCUAUAGUCACUUUGGAACCUAGAAGAAGAAAAUUCCACAAACCAAUUACCAUGACCAUUCCUGUCCCCAAAGCUUCAAGUGAUGUCAUGUUGAAUGGUUUUGGGGGAGAUGCACCAACCUUAAGAUUACUAUGCAGCAUAACAGGUGGAACCACCCCUGCCCAGUGGGAAGAUAUUACAGGAACUACGCCAUUAACAUUUGUCAAUGAAUGUGUUUCCUUUACAACAAACGUGUCUGCCAGGUUCUGGCUGAUAGAUUGUCGACAGAUCCAGGAAUCCGUUACUUUUGCAUCACAAGUAUACAGAGAAAUUAUCUGCGUACCUUAUAUGGCCAAAUUUGUAGUGUUUGCCAAAUCACAUGACCCCAUUGAAG
rnacentral:sRNA from 1 species